GCUUACACAUGCAGUCGAACGAGACCUUCGGGUCUAGUGGCGCACGGGUGCGUACCUCGUGGGAAUCUGCCCUUAGGUACGGAAUAACUCAGAUAAAUUUGUGCUAAUACCGUAUGAUGUCGAAAGACCAAAGAUUUAUCGCCUAAGGAUGAGCCCGCGUAAGAUUAGCUUGUUGGUGAGGUAAAAGCUCACCAAGGCGACGAUCUUUAGCUGGUCUGAGAGGAUGAUCAGCCACACUGGGACUGAGACACGGCCCAGACUCCUACGGGAGGCAGCAGUGGGGAAUAUUGGACAAUGGGCGAAAGCCUGAUCCAGCAAUGCCGCGUGAGUGAUGAAGGCCUUAGGGUUGUAAAGCUCUUUUACCAGGGAUGAUAAUGACAGUACCUGGAGAAUAAGCUCCGGCUAACUCCGUGCCAGCAGCCGCGGUAAUACGGAGGGAGCUAGCGUUGUUCGGAAUUACUGGGCGUAAAGAGUACGUAGGCGGUUAUUCAAGUCAGAGGUGAAAGCCUGGAGCUCAACUCCAGAACUGCCUUUGAAACUAGAUAGCUAGAACCUUGGAGAGGUGAGUGGAAUUCCGAGUGUAGAGGUGAAAUUCGUAGAUAUUCGGAAGAACACCAGUGGCGAAGGCGACUCACUGGACAAGUAUUGACGCUGAGGUACGAAAGCGUGGGGAGCAAACAGGAUUAGAUACCCUGGUAGUCCACGCCGUAAACGAUGAUAACUAGCUGUUCGGGCUCUACGAGCUUGAGUGGCGCAGCUAACGCAUUAAGUUAUCCCGCCUGGGGAGUACGGUCGCAAGAUAAAAACU
rnacentral:rRNA from 1 species